UACGGAGGGGGCUAGCGUUAUUCGGAUUCACUGGGCGUAAAGGGUGCGCAGGCGGUCGUGUGUGUCAGGUGUGAAAUCCCGGAGCUUAACUCCGGAACUGCGUCUGAAACUACACGACUAGAGAAUUGGAGAGGGAAGUGGAAUUCAUGGUGUAGCAGUGAAAUGCGUAGAUAUCAUGAGGAACACCAGAGGCGAAGGCGACUUCCUGGACAAUAGCUGACGCUCAGGCACGAAAGCGUGGGGAGCAAACAGG
rnacentral:rRNA from 1 species